GGAGGAAAAGAAACCAACAGGGAUUGCCUCAGUAACGGCGAGUGAAGCGGCAAUAGCUCAAAUUUGAAAUCUGGCUCUUUCAGAGUCCGAGUUGUAAUUUGUAGAGGAUGUUUCGGACAAGGCUUCGGUUUAAAUUCCUUGGAACAGGAUGUCAUAGAGGGUGAGAGUCCCGUCUUGAACCGUCUGCUGCGUCUAUGUGAAACUCCUUCGACGAGUCGAGUUGUUUGGGAAUGCAGCUCAAAAUGGGAGGUAAAUUUCUUCUAAAGCUAAAUAUUGGCCAGAGACCGAUAGCGCACAAGUAGAGUGAUCGAAAGAUGAAAAGCACUUUGAAAAGAGAGUUAAACAGUAUGUGAAAUUGUUGAAAGGGAAGCGGUUGCAACCAGACUUGUGUGUAACAGUUCAACCUUGGUUUUCCAAGGCCUAUUCUGUUAUACCAGGCCAGCAUCGGUUCGGGUGGUUAGUUAAAGGCAUCGGGAAUGUAUCUACCCCUCGGGGUCGACUUAUAGCCCUUUGUGUAAUGUGACCUACCUGGACCGAGGCACGCGCAUUUGCUCGGAUGCUGGCGUAAUGGUUGUAACCGAC
rnacentral:rRNA from 1 species